AAACAUGUCUUUUUGAAAAUAAUUUAAAGUCUAAUCUGCCCACUGAUNAAAUUAUUAAAGGGCUGCAGUAUUUUGACUGUACAAAGGUAGCAUAAUCAUUAGUCUCUUAAUUGGUGACUUGUAUGAAAGAUUGGAUGAGAUAUAUACUGUCUCUAUUUAAUUUAUAAAAUUUAAUUUUUUAGUAAAAAAGCUAAAAUUAUUUUAAAAGACGAGAAGACCCUAUAGAGUUUUAUAAUUUAUUUAAUUAUUAUUAAUAUGUAAAUUUUAAAAUUAAAAUUAAAUAAAUUAUUUUGUUGGGGUGAUAGAAAAAUUAAAUUAACUUUUUUUUUAUUGUAUACAUUAAUUUAUGAGUAAAUGAUCCAUUAAUAAUGAUUAAAAGAAAAAAUUACCUUAGGGAUAACAGCGUAAUUUUUUUUUUUAGUUCAAAUAGGAAAAAAAGUUUGCGACCUCGAUGUUGGAUUAAGAUAAAAUUUAAAUGCAAAAGUUUAAAAUUUUGAUCUGUUCGAUCAUUAAAAUCUUA
rnacentral:rRNA from 1 species